rnacentral:rRNA from 1 species
GAAACCAACAGGGAUUGCCCCAGUAGCGGCGAGUGAAGCGGCAAMAGCUCAAAUUUGUAAUCUGGCUUUUUUUAAAGUCCGAGUUGUAAUUUGUARAGGAAACUUUGGUGCRGCCUUGGUCUAARUUCCKUGGAACAGGACAUCACAGAGGGUGAGAAUCCCGUAUGUGGCUAUAGGCUUUAACCAUGUAAAGUUCUUUCAACGAGUCGAGUUGUUUGGGAAUGCAGCUCUAAAUGGGAGGUAAAUUUCUUCUAAAGCUAAAUAUUGGCCAGAGACCGAUAGCGAACAAGUAGAGUGAUCGAAAGAUGAAAAGAACUUUGGAAAGAGAGUUAAACAGUAUGUGAAAUUGUUGAAAGGGAAGCGCUUGCAAUCAGACUWGUYKGCARDUGMUCRASCUKGYUUUUGUCMGGCSWACUYUUCUGUAUGCAGGCCAGCAUCAGUUWGGGUGGCAGGAAAAAGACCAAUGGAAUGUGGCUUCUUUUCUUUUGAAUUGAAGUGUUAUAGCCUUGGUGUCAUGCUGUCAACCUGGACUGAGGAUCGCGUCUUUGGACUAGGAUGCUGGCGUAAUGGUUGUAAGCGGCCCGUCUUGAAACACGGACCAAGGAGUCUAACAUCUGUGCGAGUGUUUGGGUGUCAAGCCCGCACGCGUAAUGAAAGUGAACGGAGGUGGGAACCUUUACGGUGCACCAUCGACCGAUCCUGAAGUCUUCUGAUGGAUUUGAGUAAGAGCACAGCUGUUGGGACCCGAAAGAUGGUGAACUAUGCCUGUGUAGGCUGAAGUCAGAGGAAACUCUGAUGGAAGGUCGCAGCGGUUCUGACGUGCAAAUCGAUCGUCAAACAUGGGUAUAGGGGCGAAAGACUAAUCGAACCAUC